rnacentral:lncRNA from 1 species
GCAGCGGCAGGGUGAAGGGCUCCUCCAGCGCGACCCGAGACGCCGAGGCCGAGGAGGCGCGGAGAGCGAGCGAAGGCUGCUAGCAAGUUGUCAUCUCUCAAUAGUUUUCUGGAAAGUGGGGCCAAAAGAGCUGUUUGGAUAAGCUCUUUGCCGAAGAAUAACGUGAGAAGGAAUUAUGUCUCUGAAUACUUUCUUACCCCAUCAAAUAUGAGCAGAUUGGGAUUUAUACCACCAGCUUUCCUGGUUCUCCACCUUGCAGAAAGAAGAUCCUGGGACUUCUAGCUCAGCUUCUAUAACCAUCCCAGGAAGACAGUAGAGCAUAAUUUAAUAUGAAAAGGAGGUAGAGUUGGAGGUCUGCAUCUGUUUCUACCUUAUGGAGAAUCAACAGCAAAUACUUGGUUCCUGGAAUACAGGGAGGAGAAAAAUCCAACAGGAGUAUGAUGGAAAAACAAAUGAGCCAGGAAUCCAAAUUCUGCAUGAUAUUUAGUCUGGAAGAUAGAAAAUGGUUUCAUUGAAGACAAGGGAAGAAUGUUUCAAGCCGAAAAGAGUCAACAGUGUCAGAUGCAACAGAGGAACAGUGAAAGAAAACUUUAAAGACAACUGAAAUAAUUUGGCAAGUCAGUCAUUGAUGACGUUUGCCUGACAGUAUCAUUGAAAUGGUGAGGUGAGAAGACUGAUUUCAACUUCCUCUUGUGCAUGGGGGGAGAGAAAUGAGAGUAUUGCAUGAUGACAAAUAAAAUUUCCAGGAGCCUAGUGAUGAAGGGACAUAGACAUUAAGAGAUGUGAGGGGCGUUUGGUGUUUUGCUUGUGUAUACAAAUGUGUUUUUCAAGUUUGAGCAGAUUUAAGCUCUUUAAAAAUUCUGGAUCCAAAUCACAAUAGGAAUACUAAAGUGCACUUAAAAUAUUUGUAUUAUUGUUAAUCAUAUUUGAUACUGUUUUUUCAUGUGUAAAAUUAUUUGAUAUGUAUCUCUAGCCAUAAAAAUUAUUUAACUCAAAUCUAUUUUACUGUUGAAUAGAAACAAUUUAAAAUUAGGUGCUGGAUCUCCCUGAUCUGUAUCCCAACCACUUUGGCUACUCAUGCAUACAUACAUAUAUGUAUAUAUGUAUACACAUGUGUGUGUGUGCACUUAUGUGCUUCAUUAUGUGUU